rnacentral:sRNA from 1 species
UCUUUGCAUUAGUUCCCAUGUCUAACAAACACCAACCCAUGUCGUGGCCUGGACUAAUCAAUUCUAAUUUUAGUUUGAUGUGGAAGGGAUGUGUCCAAAGUUUUAGUCUAAUAGUUAGGAAUGGUGGCUUGAAGGCCUCUCAAGCCUGCUGUGGUCCCUGAGCUAGCCUUGGAACCUGAAAGGCAAAGCAGUCAGGAAUGUUGCUUGUAACUGGCAGUCUGGGACCUUAUCCAAGAGGCUAAAAAGAUAUUUCUCCACCCACACCCACACACCUCAGAAAAAGGAGGAUUCCUCUUGAUUUUGCAAUGUUUCAGUAAAACUCAAAAGGGAAUCUUUGACCUGGAAGAUAGGACAUUUAUCGUCUUGGCCAUUUGCAGCUGAGGAAGUUACUGGAUCUCUGCUUAGAGAAGUAAAGGCCUGGAUCUGAGGAAAGCAAGGGCCCCUUGGGAGUGCCUGCAAUCUUCUGCUUUUAUUUUGACAGCCCUCAGAGCUAGGUUUUAAACACUCACCAGAGAAAAAGCCUCUCCUCCAAGCUUGGGCUUGCCAGUAAGACACUCCCCUUCUGCACACUAUAAAGGCAACAGCUGGCUCUGAGCACUUCCUCCUAGGUCAGCUUCAAGUGACUCUGAGGAGUCAGUCCUGGUCAAGAGACUUUUCAUUUCAACUCUGUUGAGGACAUUUAUUCAAGGUUUCAAAUCCUGGAUGCUGAAGUGAACAAACCUGGAGCAUCUCACACUCUGAAACUUGCUAACAGGCUGUAUGGAGAGAAAACCUACAAUUUCCUUCCUGAAAGUGCCUAGCAGUUCACAUUCUGAAACUUCCUGAAGUGACACAGACUUUUCCUGGCACAACCAAGAUGCAGGCCAUUCAUAGAAACAGCAAAGAAUGCAUGUGGAACCUUCAUCUCAUAGUCUUUCUAAUGAGAGGAUACCUCCUGGGGGCUUCAUCCAAGAAAAAUAAGGACUGAAAGGAUGGCCCAGAAAGGAAGAGAGCUUCCUGUGCAAGCAUGAGAAGCUGAGUUUGGAACCCAUGAAAAAUGCCAGGCCUAGCUUCAUACUCCCUUGUAACCCCAACCCUGUGUAGGGGAGCUAUGAGAACCCCUUGGGUUUGUGGACUACCAGGCUAGGCAGAUUCAGUGGGAGAACUUGUUUUAAGGGAAUGAGGCAAAGAGUAUGAGUAAGACACUUGACGUCUUCUCUGGGCUUCAGAAAUGCACAAAUAUGCACACCCAUACACCCAUACACCCAUACACCCUACUCACAUGUCGGACCCUCCUGGGUCCCCUGCAGUGUUUGACCUCAGCUGAAGCCCUGCUGAUGUUUGUAGAAGCCUUUUGUUCCCAACAAAGGAAUGCCCUGGCCCUGUAGCAACACACCUGGGAGGUACACCUGGGCAAUAAUCCGUUCCUGUCUUUUGUUCUUCGGUCUUUGUUCCUGAGGGCUUAAGCCGGGUUUCCCACUGUGCUUCCUGGAAUUCUCCACCCAGUGAACUUGGGGUAUAUAUUCCGUGAGUAAAUAAAACAAAAGAUUUGGUAUUCUCGUGACACCAA